rnacentral:lncRNA from 1 species
AAAUAUACUAGAACAAGAGUGCACACGCUGAAAUGUCUCGCCUUCUAUACUAAUCAUUGAUAUUAUGUUGAUAGUCCUAAGUAAAAAGCUAAGCUUUAUAACAACUGUACCAUAAACUUAACAUUAACCAAGAUAACUAAACAAAGACCAAUGAACCUUGAAAAUGAGGUCAAGGUCAGAUGAACCAUGCCAGGCAGACAUGUACAGCUAACAAUGCUUCUAUACAACACAUAUAGUUGACCUAUUACUUAAAGUUUAAGAACAAGAGUGCACACGCUGAAAUGUCUCGCCUUCUUUACUAAUCAUUGAUAUUAUGUUGAUAGACCUAAAUAUAAAGCUUUAUUACAACUGUCACAUAAACUGAACAUUAACCAAGAAAACGAAACAUUGAUCAAUGAACCAUGAAAAUGAGGUCAAAGUCAGAUGAACCAUGCCAGGCAGAC